AGCUAAUUAGUCCAUAAAAAGACAUAUGUCUUGAAAAUAUAAGAAGGGAAAUAAAUAACCCAUUAGCUU
rnacentral:tRNA from 1 species